rnacentral:rRNA from 1 species
UACGAAGGGGGCUAGCGUUGCUCGGAAUCACUGGGCGUAAAGGGUGCGUAGGCGGGUCUUUAAGUCAGGGGUGAAAUCCUGGAGCUCAACUCCAGAACUGCCCUUGAUACUGAGGAUCUUGAGUUCGGGGGAGGUGAGUGGAACUGCGAGUGUAGAGGUGAAAUUCGUAGAUAUUCGCAAGAACACCAGUGGCGAAGGCGGCUCACUGGCCCGAUACUGACGCUGAGGCACGAAAGCGUGGGGAGGCAAACAGGG